CUUCAUCCUCAAAAAAUACUUGAAAAUACUUGCCAUGUCUGGGCAUGCUGGCCCACACCUGUAACCCCAGCACUUUGGGAGGCCAUGGUAAGCAACUGCUUGAUCCCAAGAGUUUGAGAUCAGCCUGGGCAGCAUAGUAAAACUCUGUCUCUACUACAAAUACAAAAAGGCAGCCAGGCAUGGCACCAUGAGUGUGUAGUCCCAGCUACCUGGGAGGCUGAGGUAGGAGGAUGAUUUGAGCUCAGGGGGUUGAGGCUGCAGUGAGUGAUGACUGUGCUACUGCACCCCAGCCUAGCCUGGAGGACCACAGUGAGGCCCUCUCUCAAAAAAAGAAAGAAAGAAAAUGCCAGUCUGCGGAUAUAUUUUUCAAAAAAUUGUAGCCCCUUUUUGCUGUAGGCCUGAGUGGUUGCUGCCGAAAUGGGCAAGUUCAUGAAACCUGGGAAGGUGGUGCUUGUCCUGGCUGGACGCUACUCUGGACGCAAAGCCGUCAUCGUGAAGAACAUUGAUGAUGGCACCUCAGAUCGCCCCUACAGCCAUGCUCUGGUGGCUGGAAUUGACCGCUACCCUCGCAAAGUGACAGCUGCCAUGGGCAAGAAGAAGAUCGCCAAGAGGCCAAAGAUCAAGUCUUUUGUGAAAGUUUAUAACUACAAUCACCUAAUGCCCACAAGGUACUCUGUGGAUAUCCCCUUGGACAAAACUGUCGUCAAUAAGGAUGUCUUCAGAGAUCCCGCUCUUAAACGCAGGGCCCAACGAGAGGCCAAGGUCAAGUUUGAAGAGAGGUACAAGACAGGCAAGAACAAGUGGUUCUUCCAGAAGCUGCAGUUUUAGAUGCUUUGUUUUGGUCAUUAAAAAUUAAAAAGGAAA